GGGCCCUGCUUUCGUUUGUCACUUGUGUGCUGCUGCCUUCUGCGGUUGCUUGGGAGUCACACUAAGGUUCUGCUGCUGACUCAGUCAUCCGGAAUUGUCUGUUUCGCUUUGAACAGUGCUAGUUGCCGCAGACCAAUCAAAGGUGCUGCCGGCCGGCCGCUCGAGCUCAGUGACUUCAGGAUGGAAGAAUCGUUCUCAUCUAAGUACGUCCCGAAGUACGUUCCCUUGGCAGACGUCAAGUCGGAAAAGACAAAGAAGGGACGCUCCGUUCCCAUGUGGAUAAAAAUGCUGCUGUUUGCUCUCGUGGCGGGUUUUUUGUUUUUGGUCUAUCAAGCUAUGGAAACCAACCAAGGAAACCCCUUCACUAAUUUUCUUCAAGAUACUAAAAUAUCCAACUGAAGAAAUCAUUUCGGCACAUCCGACUCGAUCUCCUGUUUUUAAUAACUGUAGAAAAGCAUCUGUGUCCACUUGUUGGCCGAAGAACUAAAUUGUGAUUUCACCUCAGUAAAGGUAGCGCUGCGUUGGAAAGCAGACAGGAAGCUUACCUGGAUCUCAUUUCAAUGUUUUGGACUUUGGAGAUCACACUGUGCCAUAUGAAUAAUUUUUUUAGCUCCAGAACUUUUUUGUAGGCUUUAUUUUU
rnacentral:lncRNA from 1 species